GCACAAGCGGUGGAUGAUGUGGAUUAAUUCGAUGCACGCGAAAACUUACCUACCUUGACAUGUCAGGAACCCCGCUGAGAGGUGGGGGUGCUCGAAAGAGAACCUGAACACAGGUGCUGCAUGGCUGUCGUCAGCUCGUGUCGUGAGAUGUUGGGUUAAGUCCCGCAACGAGCGCAACCCUUGUCAUUAGUUGCUACAUUCAGUUGGGCACUCUAAUGAGACUGCCGGUGACAAGCCGGAGGAAGGUGGGGAUGACGUCAAGUCCUCAUGGCCCUUAUAGGUGGGGCUACACACGUCAUACAAUGGCUGGUACAAAGGGUUGCCAACCCGCGAGGGGGAGCCAAUCCCAUAAAGCCAGUCGUAGUCCGGAUCGUAGUCUGCAACUCGACUACGUGAAGUCGGAAUCGCUAGUAAUCGUGGAUCAGAAUGUCACGGUGAAUACGUUCCCGGGUCUU
rnacentral:rRNA from 1 species